rnacentral:lncRNA from 1 species
CGACCGCCGCGCGCCUCCCUGGAGGCGCCCGCUCCUGCCCGGAGCCCUGCCCGUCUUGGGCCCGCCCUUCCGGGCCCUGCCGCGUUGAGUGGCGGAGUCGGGAUCCAGGUGGCCCGCCGGCCGGCUCAGUCCACCUCCCCGCUCCCGGCCUCGCGCCCCACCCCUUGGAUGAGAAAACUGAAACUGAGAGGGGACGUGACUGAUCCAACGUCAUACAGAAAGUCAGGCCCUGGGGAGUACAGGGCCAGGCCUGGGGCAAAAGGCCGGUGGGCGUCCAGUACGCCACAGGGACCAGCCAAAGGAGGCAGUGCCCAGUGAUGCUUUCCCAAAUCCAGGGGAGAAGGACUCAACGGUAGCCCUGUGUGGAGAGGAACUAGGCCCCCAGCCAACAACCAGCAGUGACUCACUGUGAGAGAGUGAAUCAUCUUGGAAGUGGAUCCUAAGCCCCAAUAGAGACUUCAGAUGAAACUGCAACCCUGGCUGACAUCUGACUGCAGUGGCAUAAGAAACCCUUAUGUCAGAAUCACCCUGCAAAGCCCAAAUUCUUGACCCACCAAGUGAAAGAGAAUAAAUGACGAUUGUUGUGUUUGAACUCCCAUGUUUUUGGGUAAUCAGUUCCACGGCAAUAAAUAACUAAUGUACUAGACAUCUGAGCAGAGGCCUUGCUGCACUGCGGAAGCUAGAUGAUAGCUGGGGAAGUGUUCCAGAUGAAACAGGGCAGGCAGGAGCCCCGAGGCAGAAAUGAACUUGCUGUGCCUGAGAGACAACCAUUGUGAUAUUGUGGCUGGAGUGGAGUAAGGGGAACAGUAACAGGGAGUGACUGGGCGUAUUAGGCAGGGUCAUGCAGGCCAGGUGGCUGGGAGCCCAUGGUUUGGGGGCUGUAAGCUGGGGGAAGGGCAUGGUGAUUUGCUCUGAUUUACAUAUUUUAACAACCCUCUAUAUACACAAAAUAACUAAAAGCAAGGUCUCAAAAGAGGUUAUCUGUACACUGAUUCACAGUAGCCAAGAGGUGGAUACAACCCAAGUGUCCAUCAAGAGAUGAAUGGAUAGGCUGGGUGAAGUGGCUCAUGUCUGUAAUCCCAGCACUUUGGGAGGCCGAGGUGAGUGGAUCGCUUGAGGUCAGGAGUUUGAGACCAGCCUGGCCAACAUGGUGAAACCCCAUCUCUAGUAAAAAUACAAAAACUAGCCAGGCGUGGUGGCAGGUGCCUGUAGUCCCAGCUAUUCAGGAGGCUGAGGAAGGAGGAUCACUUGAACCUGGGAGGCAGAGGUUGCAGUGAGCCAAGAUCAUGCCACUGCACUCAAGCCUGGGCGAUGGAGUGAGACUCCAUCUCAAAAAAAAAAAAAAAAACAGGUGAAAGGAUACACAAAAUGUGGCCUUAAUCAGCCUUAAAAAGGAAGGAAAUUCUGACCCAUUCUACAACAAGGGUGAACCCUGAGGACAUCAUGCAAAGUGAAAUAGUCUAGUUACAAAAAGACAAAUACCGCGGGACUCCACCUAUGUGAGGUAUCUAAAUUAGUCAAAUUCAUAGAAACAGAAGGCUGGAUGGUGGCUGCCAGGCACUGGAGGGAGGAGGGAAUGGGGAAUUAGUGUUCCAUGGGGACAGAGUUUCAGUCUGGGAAGAUGAAAAAGUUCUAGAGAUCGACGGUGGUGACAGUUGCAUAGCAACGCGAAUGCACUUAAUGCCGCUGACCUGUUUACCUAAAAUGAUUACAAUGAUAAUCAAACCUGUAACCUCAGCACUGUGCAAGGUCAAAGCAGGAGGUUCACUUGAGGCCAGGAGUUCAAGAUCAG